rnacentral:rRNA from 1 species
GACGAACGCUGGCGGCGUGCUUAACACAUGCAAGUCGAACGGAAAGGCCCUGCUUUUGUGGGGUGCUCGAGUGGCGAACGGGUGAGUAACACGUGAGUAACCUGCCCUUGACUUUGGGAUAACUUCAGGAAACUGGGGCUAAUACCGGAUAGGAGCUCCUGCUGCAUGGUGGGGGUUGGAAAGUUUCGGCGGUUGGGGAUGGACUCGCGGCUUAUCAGCUUGUUGGUGGGGUAGUGGCUUACCAAGGCUUUGACGGGUAGCCGGCCUGAGAGGGUGACCGGCCACAUGGGGAAGGAGAUACGGCCCAGCCCCCUCCGGGGGGCAGCGGUGGGGAAUAUUGAAAAAGGGGCGGAGGCCUGAUGCAGCCCCGCCGCGGGGGGGAGGCGGGCCUUCGGUUUGAAACCCGCUUUCGCCGGGGAAGAAGGGGGGGGGACGGUAAUGGGUAAAGAAGCCCCGGCUAACUACGUG